GGACUUUUAAGUGAACUGGUAGCUGGGGUGUCACUUUCUGAGAACAGAUGUGAUCAUCCUCACCUCCUGUCCUGCUCCUCAGUGAGAUCUUGCAGGAACAUCCAGAAGUUGAAUCCUUUCUAUACAAGAGAAUAAGAUAAUCCUGUGAGCAUAGAAAAACUGUUCCAGUUCUCUAGACAGGGAAGGCACCAUGGAGAGGCAGGCCUGGACAGGCCCUGGCAGCCCCACAUGCUUUCCUGACGCUGGGUCAAGAUGUGAAGACCAGUGUUGGUGGGGAGCUCAGUGGUAGAGCAUGCUCGCCUAACAUGCCUGAGGCCCUGGGUUCAAGUCUCAGCCCUGAAAAUACAUCAAAGAAAAACGAAGAUAAAUUUAUAGGCUCCCAGCAUGGUUCUCUGCAUGGAAAAGCUAAGGUCAGCAUAAAGAACAUGAUUUAUCAGGAGCGAGUCUUCCAAACCUCUGCUUCAUUCCCUGGGACUAUUUUGACUUGGAUGAAGGCAGUUGUGUCAUUAGCAGAUGGUUGUGUCAUUUCGAGCCAUCAGAAAAGAAUUCUGCAUUAUGAAAAGAAAACCUGAAAGUGAUCACCCAUUUUUUAACUGACCUUUUCAAAUUGUGAGAGUGUUUUGACUGAACAAUUAAAACAAAUUCUGUAGAUCUCAUUACUACACUAGGAGGUAGGCAGUUUACUAAUGUCUACCCUUCAUGAACGAGAGCACCCUUUUGUCCUUCCUUCCCAACAAUACAGAGAUAUUUAGAAAAGGAAGGGUGUUUUUUUGAAGGAACCAUAAACAAUUCUGGUAUCAACUUAUGUUUUCUUUUGAUCUCUAUAAGUUGUCCAAAUUUUUCAGCUGGUCUGAAAAUUAAAAGUAGACAUUUACUUUGUUCCUUAAAAGUAAGACCAGAUCUCAAGUACAUUAGCUACUUUUGCGCUUGUAUUUCAGUGUCUCAUUAUAGUUUUCAUUUCUAAUCUGUUGGAAAACAUGGAGCUUGGCAAGAAGUUCAGACUUUUUCCUGGCUAGGAAUUAAAUUUGGUCAUGGUCAAUAA